AAAGAGNCUCCUAUCGACAAGUGGGUUUACGACCUCGAUGUUGGAUCAGGGUAUCCUAGUGGUGCAGCCGCUACUAAUGNGUUCGUUUGUUCAACGAUUAAAACCCUACGUGAUCUGAGUUCNAGACCGGAGUAAUCCAGGUCAGUUUCUAUCUAUANAAGGGNCUUUUUCUAGUACGAAAGGACCGAAAAAGCAUGGCCAAUAAAACAUUUAAGCCAUNACUUAUUNNAUUAAUGAUUAAAACUAAAUUAAUAGAUGACCUGUAAUUNNUAUCUCAACAACAGAGAAGUUAACGUAGCAUAACCUGGUUUUGCUA
rnacentral:rRNA from 1 species